rnacentral:rRNA from 1 species
GACGAACGCUGGCGGCGUGCUUAACACAUGCAAGUCGAACGCUGAAGCUCAGCUUUUGUUGGGUGGAUGAGUGGCGAACGGGUGAGUAACACGUGAGUAACCUGCCCCCUUCUUUGGGAUAACGCCCGGAAACGGGUGCUAAUACUGGAUAUUCACUGGUCUUCGCAUGGGGGUUGGUGGAAAGGGUUUUUCUGGUGGGGGAUGGGCUCGCGGCCUAUCAGCUUGUUGGUGGGGUGAUGGCCUACCAAGGCUUUGACGGGUAGCCGGCCUGAGAGGGUGACCGGUCACAUUGGGACUGAGAUACGGCCCAGACUCCGACGGGAGGCAGCAGUGGGGAAGAUUGCACAAUGGGCGCAAGCCUGAUGCAGCGACGCCGCGUGAGGGAUGGAGGCCUUCGGGUUGUGAACCUCUUUCGCUCAUGGUCAAGCCGCAACAAUGGUUGUGGUGAGGGUAGUGGGUAAAGAAGCGCCGGCUAACUACGUG